CUGAUGACUUCUCUUCCUAAGCUGUCAUGAACCUGUCAUGGAUAUUCCGACUUCUCUUAUCCUCUGAAGUGAUAAAGUCUACGUUGAAUACAUACCUAAACAGGUCAUGUGCAGCAGGGAGCUGCUCUAAGAAAGCCGUUGUCCAGGGCUGCAGGUACACGAGCCUUUUCAAAAAGAAGGAUGCGCUUUCAUCCUUCCUUGGCGAGAUUAACCAGCUGCUCUUAAGUACUGUCUCUUCCAGGAAGAAGCUGUGUGGGAUGCAUUUUAAUUCAUACUCAUCUCGAGGCUGUCACGG
rnacentral:lncRNA from 1 species